rnacentral:rRNA from 1 species
AAUCAACGCUGGCGGCGUGCCUCAGACAUGCAAGUCGAACGCGAAAGGUUCCUUCGGGAACCGAGUAGAGUGGCGCACGGGUGAGUAACACGUAGGUAAUUUGCCUUUGGGUGGGGAAUAACAGCCGGAAACGGCUGCUAAUACCGCAUAAUGCAGCGGCUCGACAUCGAGACAGUUGUUAAAGCGGGGAUCGCAAGACCUCGCGCCUAAAGAGAAGCCUGCGGCAGAUUAGCUAGUUGGUAGGGUAAUGGCCUACCAAGGCGACGAUCUGUAACCGGCCUGAGAGGGCGGUCGGUCACACUGACACUGACAUACGGGUCAGACUCCUACGGGAGGCAGCAGUCGGGAAUUUUUGGGCAAUGGGCGAAAGACCUGACCCAGCAACGCCGCGUGAAGGAUGAAAUCCCUCGGGAUGUAAACUUCGCAAGAACGGG